GAUUAACGCUGGCGGCGUGCCUAACACAUGCAAGUCGAACGAAGUGGCGGACGGGUGAGUAACGCGUGAGUAACCUGCCUUAGAGAAGGGGAUAGCCUUUGGAAACGAAGAAUAAUACCCUAUGCUCUAAGAUGGACUUGCGUCUGCUUAGUUAGUUGGUGGGGUAACGGCCAACCAAGACAGCAAUCAGUAGCCGGCUUGAGCGAGUGGACUGCCACAUUGGGGCUGAGACAAGGCCCAGACUCUACGGGGGGCAGCAGUGGGGAAUUUUGCACAAUGGGGGAAACCCUGAUGCAGCGACGCCGCGUGAUUUAGAAGGCCUUCGGGUUGUAAAAAUCUUUUCUAUGGGAAGCAGUACCAUAGGAAUAAGGACCGGCUAAUUACGUGCCAGCAGCCGCGGUAAUUC
rnacentral:rRNA from 1 species